rnacentral:misc_RNA from 1 species
AUGAAUUUUCUGCAAACGGACCCAAUUAUGGCUCGCCGAACCCGGAGCCGAAGUUCUCGGAAGAAAGAGAAGCGGAGCUCAUUAUUGGGCUCGACAUUCAUGACGUACUACAACGCUGUCGACAACUUUGGGAGUCUUGAAAGCAAAAAUGUGUUCUCCCCAUUGGCAAGCGAACGGAUACGUCGGAGGCCGAGUCAGUUCGACCGAGCCGUGCACAACGCCUACUCAGAGCCACCAAAACUAUUCACCAACUCCAUAUUCGACACCCUCUUCCACCGCCUGUACUGGUCGAUACGGGCGCUGCAAUUCAAGAUUUUCUACAAAAAUGAAGAUAUGGAUCUAGACGAGGUGGUGGACAAAUGGGAGAUCGGAGUUCAACCACCGUCGUUGGAGCAGUUGACGCAGAGGACACAGUUCAGUCCGAAAUGGAUAAAGUAUAUGUAUGCGAAAUUCAAAAAUGAAUCACCUACCGGUAAAAUGAAAGAAGAAGAAUUCCGAAACCUGCUCGCCUCAAUAAUUGCACCGGAAAAAGCCACGGAUCAGUAUAUUUCAAGGCUUUUUACGGCGUUCGCCGGGGUCGACAAGAAGACUAUCACUUUUGAGAACCUUCUAGACAGCCUUUCCCAUGUACAGCCUCAGACCGCCGAGACUAAUGCCAAAUGGACAAUGAGAUUGAUAACUGGGGGUGGAGAAGGCGAUUGUUUUGGAUAUUCAGCUUUUUUGGACUUUACCCAGUCAGUAUUCCAGUUGAAUGAAGGAAAAAGCGGAGGUGAAGAAAUCAAUAAGGAGUCCGUCCAGCAAAGAGCCACAAAAAUAUUCGCCGAACUGGAUUGUGAUAGGGAUGGAUUAGUGACCUAUGACGAUAUGAUCCGGUUCUUUCAGAAAAACAACGAUUCAAGCAUCGGCUUCACUCCGGUCUCCCCAGCUCCGAAUGGAUUUGCCAACUGUGCCAAGCCUCUUUAA